CCGCCGCCGCCGCCGCCGCCGCCGGCGGGGUCCCGCCCGCCGUCUGAGAGGGGAAGGCAGGAGAGACCCGGAGGAUGCGCCCGGCCCGCCGAGCCCACUGGCCGUCACCUCCAGGCUUUGUCAGCAUCCAGAAAUCUGGGCACAAAAGAACCCCCCACCCGUCCGUGCACGUUGCAGUCCAAUUUAACCCAGUGGCAGAGGAGUUAAAAUGCCGGUGAGGCUGCUCGCUUUCCGCAGGGACAGGGCUGGAGCAGAGAGAAGGACAAGAAGCAGGGCCGAGGUUUCGCCGCGUCCGCAGCUCAGCCAAGCUGUUGUUUUAAAAGAGCAAUAAAAAUGAAUUAUGACUAAACGCCUUCUCACUUAAUGGUUUUAGACGGGGAUCCCCAGCCCCGGCAAAUACGACUGAUUCCUUGGACCGCUCAGCACGUGAGAAGUAACCAAGCGCACUCUCUGUGAGCUCUGAUAUUUUUAAGAUACGCUUCCUGAAACAGCUUGAUAGCUGCUAAGCACUACUUUCUAGAAAAACAGGAUUAUUUUUUUUAAAAAGUACCUUUCGUGUAUGUAACAGGGUAGUUUCUGUAGGAGACGCUUAUCCUACUGUGUCUCUCUUAUGUUUUGCCUGUAAGAGAGAAAGUGCUCGUUCAUGCUUUUGUUACAGCUCAGCAUUUCCAAGCUUUGUAUCCUCACGGAGAUAAGAUGCUACAUUUAUACAUUAAAAGGAAGAGAUCUCCAUCAAAGCUGUGAAUGGUUUUAGUUUGCUUUUGUUUUGGUUUGUUGGGGUUUUUUUUCCCGUGUUA